AACAGCUGCGGUAUUAUAACUGUACUAAGGUAGCAUAAUAAUUUGCCUUAUAAAUUAAGGCUAGAAUGAAUGGUUUGACGAAAAUUAAUCUGUCUCUAUUAUAAUUAUUAGAAGUUAAUGUUUAUAGUGAAAAAGCUUAAAUUAUUUAAAGGGACGAGAAGACCCUAUUGAGCUUGAUAUUAAAAUAUAAAUUUUUUUUUAAAGUUAAUAUAAAUUAUGUUUAUGGGUUUUAAAUUUUGAUUGGGGUGAUCAAGGAAUAAAAAAGAUUAAUGUAUAUAUAUUAACUUCCUUAUAUAUAAAUAUUUAUAGAUAAAUAAACCGAGAGUUUUGCUUAAAAGUAAGUUACCAUAGGGAUAACAGCGUAAUUUUUUUAGAGAGUUCUUAUUAAAAAAAAAGAUUGCGACCUCGAUGUUGGAUUAAAAUUACCUUUGGGUGCAGAAGCUCAAAUAGGUGAAUCUGUUCGAUUUUUAAAAUUUU
rnacentral:rRNA from 1 species